UACGUAGGGAGCAAGCGUUGUCCGGAAUCAUUGGGCGUAAAGCGCGCGUAGGUGGCCUCAUAAGUCUGUUGUGAAAGUCAAAGGCUCAACCUUUGAAAGCCGAUGGAUACUGUGAGACUAGAGUACGGAAGAGGCGAGUGGAAUUCCUGGUGUAGCGGUGGAAUGCGCAGAUAUCAGGAGGAACACCAAUAGCGAAGGCAGCUCGCUGGGACGUUACUGACACUGGAGGCGCGAAAGCGUGGGGAGCGAACAGG
rnacentral:rRNA from 1 species